UCGGGGAUUCAGUGAUAAGGAUUGGAGAGUUGUGAGCACCUUCAUCCCCGACUGGUGCAACGUUUGCGGUUGAGGCGUUUGAAGGAGGACCCCCUCCAGCUGAUACAUAAGGCGUGGAGGCGCUCGGGGGGUUCUCCAUGAAGUUAGGCUCGGGGGCCUCAACCACGGGAAGUGCGAACGCCAGAGGAACCACUUGGACUGGCGAGGCGGGAGCUGGUGGAGGAAGCAGUGUUGGAGGCGGAGCGGGUGUGGAAGGUGGUGUUGAUGUUGGAGGAGGAGGUGGAGCAGAUGGUGAAGAAGGCGCCACCCUCUUCCUCUUGGUGAUGAGGCCAUCUUCAGUCACCUCAUCGUCUUCUUCUUC
rnacentral:lncRNA from 1 species